CCUACGGGAGGCAGCAGUGAGGAAUAUUGGUCAAUGGACGAGAGUCUGAACCAGCCAAGUAGCGUGAAGGAUGACUGCCCUAUGGGUUGUAAACUUCUUUUAUAAAGGAAUAAAACGAGGCACGUGUGCCUUUUUGCAUGUACUUUAUGAAUAAGGAUCGGCUAACUCCGUGCCAGCAGCCGCGGUAAUACGGAGGAUCCGAGCGUUAUCCGGAUUUAUUGGGUUUAAAGGGAGCGUAGAUGGGUUGUUAAGUCAGUUGUGAAAGUUUGCGGCUCAACCGUAAAAUUGCAAUUGAUACUGGCAGUCGUGAGUACAGUUGAGGUAGGCGGAAUUCGUGGUGUAGCGGUGAAAUGCUUAGAUAUCACGAAGAACCCCGAUUGCGAAGGCAGCUUACUAAACUGUGACUGACAUUGAUGCUCGAAAGUGUGGGUAUCAAACAGGAUUAGCUACCCCUGUAGUC
rnacentral:rRNA from 1 species